rnacentral:rRNA from 1 species
GUUCGGAUUGUAGGCUGCAACUCGCCUACAUGAAGUCGGAAUUGCUAGUAAUCGCGGAUCAGCAUGCCGCGGUGAAUACGUUCCCGGGCCUUGUACACACCGCCCGUCACACCAUGGGAGUCGGUAACACCCGAAGCCUGUAGUCUAACCGCAAGGGGGACGCAGUCGAAGGUGGGAUUGAUGACUGGGGUGAAGUCGUAACAAGGUAAC